rnacentral:rRNA from 1 species
AACGAACGCUGGCGGCGUGCCUCAUACAUGCAAGUCGUACGGUGCUUUGGCCGCAAGGUUAGAGCGCCGUGGCAGACGGGUGCGUAACACGUGGGUAAUCUUCCUUUAUGUUUGGCAUAAACCCUCGAAAGGGGGUCUAAUUCCGAAUAACGUCCGGAGCCGGCAUCGGCUUCGUACCAAAGAUGGCCUCUACUUGUAAGCUAUCACAUAGAGAUGAGCCCGCGCCCGAUUAGUUAGUUGGCGGGAUAAAAGCCCACCAAGACGUCGAUCGGUAGCCGGCCUGAGAGGGUGUCCGGCCACACUGGGACUGAGAUACGGCCCAGACUCCUACGGGAGGCAGCAGUAGGGAAUAUUGCGCAAUGGCCGCAAGGCUGACGCAGCAACGCCGCGUGGGGGAUGAAGGUUUUCGGAUCGUAAACCCCUGUCGAGAGGGACGAAAGGUGAAUGGGUGAACAAUCCAUUCGCUUGACGGUACCUUUAGAGGAAGUUCCGGCCAACUUCGUGCCAGCAGCCGCGGUAA